GAUGAACGCUGGCGGCGUGCCUAAUACAUGCAAGUCGAGCGAACAGAUGAGGAGCUUGCUCCUCUGACGUUAGCGGCGGACGGGUGAGUAACACGUGGAUAACCUACCUAUAAGACUGGGAUAACUUCGGGAAACCGGAGCUAAUACCGGAUAAUAUAUUGAACCGCAUGGUUCAAUAGUGAAAGACGGUUUUGCUGUCACUUAUAGAUGGAUCCGCGCCGCAUUAGCUAGUUGGUAAGGUAACGGCUUACCAAGGCAACGAUGCGUAGCCGACCUGAGAGGGUGAUCGGCCACACUGGAACUGAGACGCGGUCCAGACUCCUACGGGAGGCAGCAGUAGGGAAUCUUCCGCAAUGGGCGAAAGCCUGACGGAGCAACGCCGCGUGAGUGAUGAAGGUCUUCGGAUCGUAAAACUCUGUUAUUAGGGAAGAACAAAUGUGUAAGUAACUAUGCACGUCCUGACGGUACCUAAUCAGAAAGCCACGGCUAACUACGUG
rnacentral:rRNA from 1 species